rnacentral:rRNA from 1 species
GGCCAGCAGCCGCGGUAAUACGGAGGGUGCGAGCGUUGUUCGGAAUUAUUGGGCGUAAAGCGCGUGUAGGCGGUUUCUUAAGUCUGAUGUGAAAGCCCCGGGCCUAACCUGGGAAGUGCAUUGGAUACUGGGAGACUUGAGUACGGGAGAGGGUAGUGGAAUUCCUAGUGUAGGAGUGAAAUCCGUAGAUAUUAGGAGGAACACCGGUGGCGAAGGCGGCUGCCUGGACCGAUACUGACGCUGAGACGCGAAAGCGUGGGUAGCAAACAGGAUUAGAUACCCUGGUAGUCCACGCCGUAAACGAUGAGUACUAGGUGUUGCGGGUAUUGACCCCUGCAGUGCCGCAGCUAACGCAUUAAGUACUCCGCCUGGGAAGUACGGUCGCAAGACUAAAACUCAAAGGAAUUGACGGGGGCCCGCACA